CGCAGUGUUUGUACACAAAUCAACACAACAACAUCGUAAUGAUAUCUUGUUUUUAUAAAUAAAUAACAUAGUAGUUGUAUAAAGUGCGCGUUGUGUUUGAUACGAAGGAUGGAUUAUAUGAAAGAACAGGACUGGCAUGACGCAAAUCUUGGCAGCCUCCAACUGAUGAUCACAGAUUUCGAUCUUUGGAUAUGUAGAUUAAAAAAAUACAUUGAAAAAAGGAACGUAUUUACCUCUCCUCGACGGUCUGAACUAAACAGAAGAGAAGAUAUUCCUUUUACAAAUCAAAUAGUAGACCUAACUUUAAAUAAUAUUAUUGUCAAUGGUAUUUUAUUAAGAGAAAUAUUAAAGUAUAGGACAGAUAAUAAAAGUAAAAUGACGGGAGAAGAUAGAAAAGAUAUUAUUGAAUUUGAUUUUGUAGUGUAUAGUCUGUUAAAUAAUUUAAAAUACAACAAAUGUAAGCUAUGAUAUCACGUUUCUUUUACGUUCACCAGGUCAGAUUUGUCGGUAUAAAGUAGUCAAGGUUACGCAACUAAAAUUGAUGACCUGCAGAUCAGCUCACGGUUUGCUUGUAAAACUGAUCAGUGAACAGAUCAGUUCAAUGUAUUUGCAUUGAGUAAUGAGAUGAGGAGUUGCUCGGCCCAUAUAGUUACUUUACGUUGAGCCGUGAGCUGCUAUUUCAUUUACUGAGCUAUGGCUCAACAGUUCGAGACUAUGUGAGAACUUUGAACUUUCAACCGGUUCAGAAUUUCAAAGCAACAGACAACAUACACGCAAUUUAAGAGGAAUCUAUGGUAUUUGUCCUUUACUAUAUCGAUUUUAUUAUAAUGUAUUCUAUUUAUUAGAAUUUAAUUACAUGGAAUGGUGCAAUGGUGGUAGUUUGUAAAUAUAAUAUUUUAAG